UCGCCGCUGCCUCAGCCUCCGCCUCAGCAGCCGCGGCCGCCGCCUCUCCAUAGACACCCUCGCCGCGGGGCAGAGGCGGCGCGCCCCCCUGCGCAUGCGCCCGCCCCGUCGGCGCGCGCGCCCGAGCGGCCCGGCCAGUCGGGACCCGGGGACGCGCGGGCCGCCGCCAUGCGGUCUCUGCGGCCCACGUGACCGGGUUCGCGGCGGAGGGUCACGCUGCUGCUGCCUCCUGCUUCCACUGUGUUCAUGCUUUGGCUUCUUCGUGUGCCGCAGGGAGGAGCCAAGGCUUUUCCCUGUUUGUUUUGCAACGUAAAACAUUAUCUAAGGAGACGGAGUGUGGUUUUUAGGGGCGCUCGCAGGGCUUUUCUCGUUGCCGAGACACCCACCAGGCCCAGAGGCUUGGCAGCCGAGCACAAUGGCCGCGGUCGGUCGGAGAGCUGUGACCGGGCGCCGCGGUCCCUGACGCCCUGUGUACCUGGGUGACCGUGCUGUGCGUGACCCAGGCCCUCCUGGGACACCCUUGGCCUCCCUGCGAUUCGCGGCUGUCGGACUCGCACCCGCUGGUCAAAGGCCCCAGUGAUUUGGUGAACCAGCACUGGGGGCUCCAAGAACGUGCCACCUACCGGGAAACAGUGACAAAGGCAGACACCGGCGGCCCCAGCCGGCAGUGCUGGACAGACACCUGGGUCUGGGGGCAGGGUGGUGACCAAGGAGACCAGCAUAUCUUCCCAUCUCCUCGGGCGAACGGACGCAUGGAAUUCUGCAGACUCCGAGGAGAGAAUACGGUCUCCUGGGCUUUGAGGCGGGAAGGCACCCCAAGGCCUGGAAUGCCCGGCUGAGGAUGUCAGGCCUUGGGGGGCGGGGCGGGGAGGGUGAAGAACCCCAGAAGGUUAGUGCGGAAAGAACCUUUGUAUACAUGCCUCCGGAUUUUAAGCAGAGGCUCAGAGAGAAAGAAGGAGACUUAAAGGGAUCUCUUCCCCGCAGGUCACCUGGUCCCUAACCCAGCCGUCCAGGAGACCUAGGGAGACCCUGUUAUGGACACCACUCACCCCGAUCAACCCCCCACCGGUUGGCUGGAGGACUAAUGUGCACAAAAAAAUGGGAGAAAACGGAAGUCUGAAAACCUGGGUAGGGUAAUGUUACUGGCUUAAAGGACUUAGAAAAGGAUGUUCACGGUCCAGACCACCUGACAUCCAUUAUUCAGACCAGACAUCUGGAAGAUUACAAUGUCGGACCAAUCCGGAAGCUAAGAAUGCAGGACUGAUUCUUCUUAAGAAUGCACUUUUUACUCCAGAGCCUCCCGACUCUUUCUGCUCAGUUGACAGUGGCCACACACUCCAGGGGGGCAAGUACCAGAAAUGUUCUAUUCACCCCUUAUACCCUUAUUAUCUAUCACAGUUCCAUGACACCAUCGGGGUUUGAUAAAUAUCCAAUACAUGAUGGAGCAGAAGGUGAGAAAGAACCUUACAGUACAGCGUGUCUGCUUAUUUCUAGCCUUGCUAUGUGCCAUUUAUUGACGGGCAGUGUGAGCCAUAGUUAAAAGCAGGCUCUGGAGAUGAAGUUCGAGUUCUGGUUUUGCCAGAUACCACUUGUAUGACCUUCAGUAAGUGACAUGACCUACCUGUGCCUCAAUUUCCUCAUAUAUAAAAUGGAAGUAAUAUUGCUAUAAACUAAAUGCUUGUGUCCUCCUCAUAGCCGUAUGUUGAAAGCCUACCCCCUCCAUGUGGUGGUGUUAGGAGGUGGGCCUUUGGGGAGUGGUUAGGAUUAGAUGAGUUCUUGAAGAUAGACCCCUCCUGAUGGAUGGUUUUUGCAAGUCACUGGAGAGCUGGCUUCCCUGCUCUGUUCUUCAUCAUGUGAGGUCAGAAGGAGGAAUCUGCCAUCUGCAGCCCUGAAGAGGGCCCUCACCAUGCUGGCACCCUGAUUUUAGAUUUCCA